rnacentral:misc_RNA from 1 species
UGCAUUUGCAUCAAAAUCAGAACUAGUACUAGUAGUUGAUUGCUGAAGUGCCUCCUCAUAUGUCAAUGCUUUAGCUAAACCUGUAUUGAAAACAGAGGAAAGUAAAACUAAACCCCCUUGAACAUUUCUUGAUAUACCCUCUACUGAUCUUGACAAAUUGGCUGCAUUGGGGAAGUUCUUGAAUUGGAAAGAUGGGAUUUUUUUGGGUUCAUUUCUUCUAUCAGAAAAAACUGAAACAGGGGUUAAUCUUGCUGCAUUGAGAGCCUCCAUAGCUAGAGGAAUUUUUAUGAAAUCUUGAUAUCCCAUAGUGAAAGGUUGUAGAUAUGUGGAAGCAUUGAUGAUUA